UGGGGAAUAUUGCACAAUGGGCGCAAGCCUGAUGCAGCCAUGCCGCGUGUAUGAAGAAGGCCUUCGGGUUGUAAAGUACUUUCAGCGAGGAGGAAGGCGUUGUGGUUAAUAACCGCAGCGAUUGACGUUACUCGCAGAAGAAGCACCGGCUAACUCCGUGCCAGCAGCCGCGGUAAUACGGAGGGUGCAAGCGUUAAUCGGAAUUACUGGGCGUAAAGCGCACGCAGGCGGUCUGUCAAGUCGGAUGUGAAAUCCCCGGGUUCAACCUGGGAACUGCAUCCGAAACUGGCAUGCUAGAGUCUUGUAGAGGGGGGUAGAAUUCCAGGUGUAGCGGUGAAAUGCGUAGAGAUCUGGAGGAAUACCGGUGGCGAAGGCGGCCCCCUGGACAAAGACUGACGCUCAGGUGCGAAAGCGUGGGGAGCAAACA
rnacentral:rRNA from 1 species